rnacentral:piRNA from 1 species
UAAUGCCUUUGUCAGAUUUUGAGACGC